rnacentral:lncRNA from 1 species
CAGAGCAAUGUCACAAGGCGUGAUGGGCCAAGGGCAUGCCUGGGAGGCUAAGGGCCGGCAUCGGAUUCCCAAGACAAACCUAGAAUGCAGAGUUUAGCUGCACGACUGGAGUUGUGUCCAUCACUCAGACAGAUCCUCAACUGGAAGCUUUGGAAAAAAUUCAAAACCAAACAAAUGCAGACUGAUGAGCUGACUCAGCUACCUGGAAAUUAUCAAUGACUGCACGUGCCCAGCUCUUCUGGACCCUCUGAUGUUCUGUCACAUGGGAGCAAAUGGAGAGCUGGGACAUCCUUUGACCUCAGCCCUCAAAGGAUAAUUAACUUCUUGCUCAAUCCCUCAGCAUUUGACCAAAAUACCAAGAUAAAAAUGUAGGCCCGUGUUAGUACAAAAGGUCCUGCAUUCAACUGUCCUCCUUAUAUUGCCCAAGAAGUCUUGUGGAAUUCCAAGAAGAAUUCAAGGGGCCAGACCUGGAAUAUGCAUCAAUGAGAAUAAGACACUGACGAAGCUAACGACACUAACGGGGAAUGAGGAUAAUCGACUCCUGUCCUUUGUUUUACUCUUUAACCUAGUAAUAAAUCCCUUUAAAGGCCCGUGGUAUUC